GAUGAACGCUGGCGGCGUGCCUAAUACAUGCAAGUCGAGCGAACGGACGAGAAGCUUGCUUCUCUGAUGUUAGCGGCGGACGGGUGAGUAACACGUGGAUAACCUACCUAUAAGACUGGGAUAACUUCGGGAAACCGGAGCUAAUACCGGAUAAUAUUUUGAACCGCAUGGUUCAAAAGUGAAAGACGGUCUUGCUGUCACUUAUAGAUGGAUCCGCGCUGCAUUAGCUAGUUGGUAAGGUAACGGCUUACCAAGGCAACGAUGCAUAGCCGACCUGAGAGGGUGAUCGGCCACACUGUAACUGAGACACGGUCCAGACUCCUACGGGAGGCAGCAGUAGGGAAUCUUCCGCAAAGGGCGAAAGCCUGACGGAGCAACGCCGCGUGAGUGAUGAAGGUCUUCGGAUCGUAAAACUCUGUUAUUAGGGAAGAACAUAUGUGUAGGUAACUGUGCACAUCUUGACGGUACCUAAUCAGAAAGCCACGCCUAACUACGUG
rnacentral:rRNA from 1 species